CCUCCUACGGGGCGCAGCAGUGGGGGAUAUUGCACAAUGGGGGGAACCCUGAUGCAGCGACGCCGCGUGGGUGAAGAAGCGCCUCGGCGCGUAAAGCCCUGUCAGCAGGGAAGAAAAUGACGGUACCUGAAGAAGAAGCCCCGGCUAACUACGUGCCAGCAGCCGCGGUAAUACGUAGGGGGCAAGCGUUAUCCGGAUUUACUGGGUGUAAAGGGGGCGCAGACGGCGAUGCAAGCCAGGAGUGAAAUCCCGCGGCUCAACCGCGGAACUGCAUUUAAAACUGUUUUUCUUGAGUACCGGAGAGG
rnacentral:rRNA from 1 species